GAUGAAGAACGUAGCGAAAUGCGAUAAGUAAUGUGAAUUGCAGAAUUCAGUGAAUCAUCGAAUCUUUGAACGCACAUUGCGCCCCUUGGUAUUCCGAGGGGCAUGCCUGUUCGAGCGUCAUAUUAACCACUCCCGCUUGCGGGGUCUUGGGCUUCGCCUCCGGGCGGGCCUUAAAAUCAGUGGCGGUGCCGUCGGGCUCUACGCGUAGUAAAUUUUCUCGCGAUAGGGUCCCGGUGGAUGCUUGCCAACAACCCCCAACUUCUUAAGGUUGACCUCGGAUCAGGUAGGGAUACCCGCUGAACUUAAGCAUAUCAUAAGCGGAGGA
rnacentral:misc_RNA from 1 species